AUAAAAGAGAGAGUUAAGGGACAAAGAGAUGAAGAAGCAUAGAAAAAGGUUUUCAUGUGCAUUAUUUUACAUUCCUAUAUAAGUUUUCAAAACAAUCGAGGUAAGAUACUUUAUGCAAGUGUUUGUUUUCCUAUAUUUUUAUAUUCAAUAAUUUAUACAUGAAUUGCUAGUAGAUUUUCGGGUUUGACCUAACCAAUUAACGAAAUGUGAUCUCUAUUGAGUUCUUUAUAAUGAAAUGUGAAAUCCUUCGGGAAUUCAAAGUGCUACUGAUGAGUGUGUCACUUGGUCGUCGAUAUACUUCAUAAGAAAUGUGGAAUGAAGUGUUUAUUUUAUUGUUAUAUAAUUGUUUAUAGAAACUAUAUGAAUCUUACUGGGUAUUUUUAACACUCACUCUUACAAUAAUUUUACAGGUUGGAUAGUACGAAUUCGAUUGGAUCUGUGGCAAGAUGAUGAUGCGAGCUGCUAAGUGGAUCAGAGAAAAGGAAAAAUAAACAUUAAGUUUUUCUAUCUUUAAAUCCUUAGUUAGUUUAAUUUAUUCAAAGAUGUGUUAUUAAGUUAAUUAGUUGAAUAUGUUUACUUUUUCUAAUAUACCAUUUUCAUGUUUAGCUUAAAUUUAUGAAUAUUUCAGAAAUUUAUUUUUAUCGUUCCGCCUUUAAUGCAAAGAAAAGUAAAUUUUCGAUAACAAGUAGGGAUGGCAAUUUGAACUGUUAAAAGCGAAAACCACGGUUAACUGAACUGAAUGGGGCAAAAAAAAUCAAACCGAUGGUGCAAUGGGACGGAUAUGG
rnacentral:lncRNA from 1 species